UACGUAGGGCGCAAGCGUUGUCCGGAAUUAUUGGGCGUAAAGAGCUCGUAGGCGGCUUGUCACGUCGGGUGUGAAAGCCCGGGGCUUAACCCCGGGUCUGCAUUCGAUACGGGCUAGCUAGAGUGUGGUAGGGGAGAUCGGAAUUCCUGGUGUAGCGGUGAAAUGCGCAGAUAUCAGGAGGAACACCGGUGGCGAAGGCGGAUCUCUGGGCCAUUACUGACGCAGAGGAGCGAAAGCGUGGGGAGCGAACAGG
rnacentral:rRNA from 1 species